GCAAGGGUUACUUUAAAAACCAAACGAAGAGGCUUCCUCACUGUGGGCUCACUUCUGAGAAAAUUGCAGGGAGAAGGACAUGAUCAGCUAGCGAUUGAAAGAUGAUGUUUACAUUGGGGAUUUGUGGUCCUUUGGUCCAGGCUCGAAGGCAGCACACAGCUGCUGCAUCCCCAGCUCUUUGCUGAUGUCUCCCCCCAAAAGGCAAGCGGACAAAGGAGAGACCCAAAGAACUCAGGAAAGAUAGUUCAGAGGAGGGAAAAUAAAUGACACCCUUUGUUGAGUUCCACCUCUUUGGACUUCUGGCUUGUGUAUCUUUGUUGGCCCCAAUUCUUGGGAGUUAGAAGAACUCCCCCAACACUGACUGUGCAUGCAUGCCAAGGCCUCCAAGCAAUUAUUAGUCUGUGUUCAAGUGACUGAAAAUGUCAGGCCUCUUCACAAUGGGCCCACGAAGGAUUCUGGAGUCUGCUGGUAGGCCAUGGAACCCAGGGGAAAUAAGGAGUUCCACCUACAGUGAAAGAAAAUCACUAAAGGAAGAUGACAUACCAGCUAUCAGAAAAGAAAACUGAAGCCCAGAGAGAAUGAUGAUUUGCCCAAAGUCAACGGGAAAGUACAUUAUGUGCAGUGACCAACCGUAAUUCCAUAGGACCCUUGAUGAAACAUGCCAUCCACCUCCUGACAGAGAUGUAAUAGACUCAGUGUAGAUUAAGACUUUUUCUUUACAUGGCCAAUGUGGGAAUUUGUUUUGUUUGACUAUAAAUAAGGGCUUUUCUUUUCUUUCUCUUUCAAAGGGGAUGGGGAUAGGUGUGAGAGAUAAAGCGAAU